CUACCGGACAAGAAAGUUGCAUGAUUGAAUUCCCCGCUAGUAUAAGACACAUGCCAAUUAUCGACGCCUCUACUCUGCUCAUGACGUCUUGGACGUUAUAUGAGAUGUAAUACAUAAGUAUCAUCACAACCAAGAAGAAUAUAUAACACCCGCCCCUCCAGUCCUAAUCGAUAUCUUGGGAUUGGAACAUCUUUGAACAAGCACCUAAUUACCAAGGUACAGAGUAUUCGCAGCCCUCAGUGUU